GCUAUCGUGGCUCAGUCGGUAGAGCAGCAGAUUCGUAACCUGCAGGUCGGGGGUUCGAUUCCCCCCGAUAGCUCCA
rnacentral:tRNA from 1 species